GAUCCCCUAGCUCAGCGGUAGAGCGUCGGAUUCCAGCUCUUCCAAACGGAGCUUCCCGAAGGUCAUCCGUUCAAUCCGGGUGGGGAUCA